rnacentral:ncRNA from 2 species
UUCCACUUGUCGGGGUGCCACUCUGAAUUUUCAGAAAUGGCUGAGAUGAAACCCGUUGAACCUGAAGAGGCUAGAACCUCCGUAGGAAACAAGCCGGAAUGCCGG